UCCAGACUCCUACGGGAGGCAGCAGUGAGGAAUAUUGGUCAAUGGACGCAAGUCUGAACCAGCCAAGUAGCGUGCAGGAUGACGGCCCUCCGGGUUGUAAACUGCUUUUAGUUGGGAAUAAAAGGGGGCUCGUGAGCCCCGUAUUGUAUGUACCAUCAGAAAAAGGACCGGCUAAUUCCGUGCCAGCAGCCGCGGUAAUACGGAGGAUGCGAGCGUUAUCCGGAUUUAUUGGGUUUAAAGGGUGCGUAGGCGGGCAUUUAAGCCGGCGGUCAAAUGUCGGGGCUCGACCCCGGCCUGCCGUCGGAACUGGGUGCCUUGAGUGGGCGAGAAGUAUGCGGAAUGCGUGGUGUAGCGGUGAAAUGCAUAGAUAUCACGCAGAACUCCGAUUGCGAAGGCAGCAUACCGGCGCCCAACUGACGCUGAAGCACGAAAGCGUGGGUAUCGAACAGGAUUAGAUACCCGCGUAU
rnacentral:rRNA from 1 species